rnacentral:rRNA from 1 species
AACUUUGGGCUUGGUUGGCCGGUCCGCUUUUUUGCGAGUACUGGANUCAACCGAGCCUUUCCUNRRUGGCUAACUAGUCGUUCUUCGGCUAGCGAACCAGGAUUUUUACUUUGAGAAAAUUAGAGUGUUCAAAGCAGGCAUUAGCUUGAAUAUAUAWAGCAUGGAAUAAUAGAAUAGGACGUUAUGGUUCUAUUUUGUUGGUUUCUAGGACCAUCGUAAUGAUAAGUAGGGACGGUCGGGGGCAUCAGUAUUCAGUUGUCAGAGGUGAAAUUCUUGGAUUUACUGAAGACUAACUACUGCGAAAGCAUUUGCCAAGGACGUUUUCAUUAAUCAAAAACGAAAGUUAGGGGAUCGAAGAUGAUCAGAUACCGUCGUAGUCUUAWCCAUAAACUAUGCCGACUAGGGAUCGGGUGUAGUCCUUUUUUUGGCUCACUCGGCACCUUACGAGAAAUCAAAGUUUUUGGGUUCUGGGGGGAGUAUGGUNGCAAGGCUGAAACUUAAAGG